rnacentral:rRNA from 1 species
GGCGUGCCUAAUACAUGCAAGUCGAGCGAACAGAUAAGGAGCUUGCUCCUUUGACGUUAGCGGCGGACGGGUGAGUAACACGUGGGUAACCUACCUAUAAGACUGGGAUAACUUCGGGAAACCGGAGCUAAUACCGGAUAACAUUUGGAACCGCAUGGUUCUAAAGUGAAAGAUGGUUUUGCUAUCACUUAUAGAUGGACCCGCGCCGUAUUAGCUAGUUGGUAAGGUAACGGCUUACCAAGGCGACGAUACGUAGCCGACCUGAGAGGGUGAUCGGCCACACUGGAACUGAGACACGGUCCAGACUCCUACGGGAGGCAGCAGUAGGGAAUCUUCCGCAAUGGGCGAAAGCCUGACGGAGCAACGCCGCGUGAGUGAUGAAGGGUUUCGGCUCGUAAAACUCUGUUAUUAGGGAAGAACAAAUGUGUAAGUAACUGUGCACGUCUUGACGGUACCUAAUCAGAAAGCCACGGCUAACUACGUGCCAGCAGCCGCGGUAAUACGUAGGUGGAAGCGUUAUCCGGAAUUAUUGGGCGUAAAGCGCGCGUAGGCGGUUUCUUAAGUCUGAUGUGAAAGCCCACGGCUCAACCGUGGAGGGUCAUUGGAAACUGGGAAACUUGAGUGCAGAAGAGGAAAGUGGAAUUCCAUGUGUAGCGGUGAAAUGCGCAGAGAUAUGGAGGAACACCAGUGGCGAAGGCGACUUUCUGGUCUGUAACUGACGCUGAUGUGCGAAAGCGUGGGGAUCAAACAGGAUUAGAUACCCUGGUAGUCCACGCCGUAAACGAUGAGUGCUAAGUGUUAGGGGGUUUCCGCCCCUUAGUGCUGCAGCUAACGCAUUAAGCACUCCGCCUGGGGAGUACGACCGCAAGGUUGAAACUCAAAGGAAUUGACGGGGACCCGCACAAGCGGUGGAGCAUGUGGUUUAAUUCGAAGCAACGCGAAGAACCUUACCAAAUCUUGACAUCCUUUGAAAACUCUAGAGAUAGAGCUUUCCCCUUCGGGGGACAAAGUGACAGGUGGUGCAUGGUUGUCGUCAGCUCGUGUCGUGAGAUGUUGGGUUAAGUCCCGCAACGAGCGCAACCCUUAAGCUUAGUUGCCAUCAUUAAGUUGGGCACUCUAGGUUGACUGCCGGUGACAAACCGGAGGAAGGUGGGGAUGACGUCAAAUCAUCAUGCCCCUUAUGAUUUGGGCUACACACGUGCUACAAUGGACAAUACAAAGGGCAGCUAAACCGCGAGGUCAUGCAAAUCCCAUAAAGUUGUUCUCAGUUCGGAUUGUAGUCUGCAACUCGACUACAUGAAGCUGGAAUCGCUAGUAAUCGUAGAUCAGCAUGCUACGGUGAAUACGUUCCCGGGUCUUGUACACACCGCCCGUCACACCACGAGAGUUUGUAACACCCGAAGCCGGUGGAGUAACCAUUUAUGGAGCUAGCCGUCGAAGGUGGGACAAAUG